CACUAAGUGAGAGCAGGGGUCAUCAGCUACUGGACAGGCCGGAGUGACCAUGGGAAGAGCAGGACCAUGCCGAGUGCUUUACAAUGGGACCAGAACGACCAAACAGACAAGCCCAUGCAUCCGCCCGUGACUCACGGUCUCCUGAUCAACACGUGACGGUAAUGUCUGAACUGUCUCCGGAUAAUGGCCAUCCUCUCCACCUGCGCCCCCAUCUUCAUGCUUGGGACGGAGCCUUGUGCCCACACCAGGCAAGUGAUCCACCUCUGGGCCACACCAGCAGCUGAGUAACGAGGGCACAGAUCUCUUUCUGGAAUUCCUCUCAGCGGAGGGGCACACCGCUCCCGACAGGAGGCAUUCACUAACUCUCAAGGCACCUGCCUUCUGGAACAGCCUCAGCUGGGGUGUCCAUCACUCCCGUUUCCUCAGAUCUCAGCAGGGCAUGGAUGGAUGGCAGGCGGCUGAUAGAGGGCUUCUGGAUUUAGGAGCCCAUCUGUGCUUUCUCAUCUUCGAAGACCGACCUCCUGCUGGCAGAGUAUAGAACACUUAGCCGCGCGGUGGUGGCGCACGCCUUUAAUCCCAGCACUCGGGAGGCAGAGGCAGGAGGAUCACUGUGAGUUCGAGUCCAGCCUGGUCUACAGAGCGAGUGCCAGGACAUGCUCCAAAGCUACAGAGAAACCCGUCUUGGAAAACCAAAAAUUAAAAAAAAAAAAUCUUAAAAAAAAAGCAAUGUUGACUUCACAAGUAAUUUUAAAAAAAUACCGAGAGGUGUUGUCUGUGUGCGCAGAGCUCCGGAAACUCACGCCCAAGCCAUUAGAGAGUCCCAAAUCUCAAGAGCAGCUGUCUUUCUGUUGGACUCUGGCCAAGACUCAG
ensembl:lncRNA